GACGAACGCUGGCGGCGUGCCUAACACAUGCAAGUCGAACGGAGCAAAAGCCCUUCGGGACUUUACUUAGUGGCGAACGGGUGAGUAACGCGUGAGGAACCUGCCUUCCAGUGGGGGACAACAGUUGGAAACGACUGCUAAUACCGCAUGAUGCUUUUGAGGGACAUCCCUUAAAAGUCAAAGCUUUAUGUGCUGGAAGAUGGCCUCGCGUCUGAUUAGCUAGUUGGUGGGGUAACGGCUCACCAAGGCGACGAUCAGUAGCCGGUCUGAGAGGAUGAACGGCCACAUUGGGACUGAGAUACGGCCCAGACUCCUACGGGAGGCAGCAGUGGGGAAUAUUGCACAAUGGGCGAAAGCCUGAUGCAGCGACGCCGCGUGAGUGAAGAAGUAUUUCGGUAUGUAAAGCUCUAUCAGCAGGGAAGACAGUGACGGUACCUGACUAAGAAGCUCCGGCUAAAUACGUG
rnacentral:rRNA from 1 species